ACGAGCGGCGGACGGGUGAGUAAUGUCUGGGAAACUGCCUGAUGGAGGGGGAUAACUACUGGAAACGGUAGCUAAUACCGCAUAACGUCGCAAGACCAAAGAGGGGGACCUUCGGGCCUCUUGCCAUCAGAUGUGCCCAGAUGGGAUUAGCUAGUAGGUGGGGUAACGGCUCACCUAGGCGACGAUCCCUAGCUGGUCUGAGAGGAUGACCAGCCACACUGGAACUGAGACACGGUCCAGACUCCUACGGGAGGCAGCAGUGGGGAAUAUUGCACAAUGGGCGCAAGCCUGAUGCAGCCAUGCCGCGUGUAUGAAGAAGGCCUUCGGGUUGUAAAGUACUUUCAGCGGGGAGGAAGGCGAUGAGGUUAAUAACCUUGUCAAUUGACGUUACCCGCAGAAGAAGCACCGGCUAACUCCGUGCCAGCAGCCGCGGUAAUACGGAGGGUGCAAGCGUUAAUCGGAAUUACUGGGCGUAAAGCGCACGCAGGCGGUCUGUCAAGUCGGAUGUGAAAUCCCCGGGCUCAACCUGGGAACUGCAUUCGAAACUGGC
rnacentral:rRNA from 1 species